UGGUUGCGAAGCAGUGGCGUUGUUCGGGCGAGCCGACGACGAGACCGUAUCUGUCUGGAAAUUUGUCUCGUGGGUUAGACUCAAACAUAUUCCGCGCAUUUAGACACUAUUUGUAUGUCCGAUAGGCUAGUCGUUUUACGUUUUAACACCCGUCGGAGUUAGUUUCCUGAUUCGCUCUGGAGAAUGGCUGCUGCUGAGGUAAACGGUAGUUCUGCCCCGGCAAAGGAGGAGGAAGAGCCUAUGGAUGUGACCACAACACACACAGAGAACUACCAGACCCUCCUUGAUGCUGGGCUGCCCCAGAAAGUAGCUGAAAGUCUAGAUAAUAUCUUCCAGACAGGCCUAGUGGCAUACGUUGACCUGGACGAAAGGGCUAUCGAUGCAUUGCGGGAGUUCAACGAGGAGGGAGCACUUACUGUGCUGCAGCAGUUCAAAGAGAGCGACCUGUCCCACGUACAGAAUAAAAGUGCUUUCCUUUGUGGAGUUAUGAAGACCUACAGACAGAGAGAAAAACAAGGAAGUAAGGUACAAGAGUCCACCAAGGGCCCAGAUGAGGCAAAAAUAAAGGCCCUGUUGGAGCGCACAGGAUACACCCUGGAUGUCACUACAGGCCAGAGAAAAUAUGGGGGUCCUCCACCUGAGGAUGUGUUCAAAGGCACUCAUCCAGGCAGCGGAACUGAGGUUUUUGUUGGAAAAAUCCCCAGGGAUUUGUAUGAAGAUGAGCUGGUGCCGCUCUUUGAGUCUGCUGGUCCCAUCUGGGACCUCAGGUUAAUGAUGGACCCUUUAUCUGGUCAGAACAGAGGUUAUGCCUUCAUCACAUACUGCAAUAAGGAUGAUGCACAGAAGGCUGUGAAGCUUUGUGAUAACCAUGAAAUCCGCCCUGGCAAGUACUUGGGAGUUUGUAUAUCUGUUGCAAACAAUCGCCUGUUUGUCGGAUCGAUUCCAAAGAACAAAACAAGAGAAAGUAUAUUGGAAGACUUUGGCAAAGUGACAGAGGGCCUCCAAGAGGUGAUAUUGUAUCAUCAGCCGGAUGACAAGAAAAAGAACCGUGGUUUCUGUUUCCUCGAGUAUGAGGACCACAAGUCCGCGGCACAGGCUCGCCGUCGCCUGAUGAGCGGCAAGGUCAAAGUGUGGGGGAACCCGGUCACUGUGGAGUGGGCUGACCCUGUAGCUGAACCAGACCCAGAGGUCAUGGCUAAGGUAAAGGUGCUCUUUGUGAGGAAGCUGGCAACAGCAGUGACUGAAGAGCUUCUUGAAAAGACCUUUUCCCAGUUUGGAAAGCUGGAACGAGUGAAGAAAUUGAAAGACUAUGCUUUUGUCCAUUUUGAAGAGAGGGAUGCUGCCGUAAAGGCAAUGGAGGAGAUGAAUGGGAAGGAACUGGGAGGAGAAGAAAUUGAGAUUGUCUUGGCAAAGCCCCCAGACAAGAAGAGGAAAGAGCGCCAAGCAGCUCGGCAGACUACCAGAAAUGCGGGGUAUGAUGACUACUACUACUACCCACCUCCACGCAUGCCUCCACCGGGCCGAGGCAGGGGCCGUGGUGGCCGAGGGGGCUAUGCCUAUCCACCAGAUUACUAUGGCUAUGAUGACUACUACGAUGACUACUAUGGCUACGACUAUCAUGACUACCGUGGUGGCUAUGAAGACCCUUACUACGGCUACGAAGACGUGUACACCAUGAGGGGCCGUGGUACUCGUCCCAGCAGGGGAGGUCCACCUCCUCCCAGGGCUCGUGGAGCUCCACCGACACGAGGCCGGGGUGGCUACGCCCAAAGAGGGCCACCCCUCGGUGGUCCGAGGGGUGGCCGAGGAGGGCGGGGUGCCCCUUUCCAGCCUCAGAGGGGCCGCGGUCCUCGCGGGGCCAGGGGCAAUCGCGGCGGAAACGUCGGCGGAAAGAGGAAGGCAGACGUGUUUAACCAGCCUGACUCCAAGCGCCGCCAGACCAACAACCAACAGAACUGGGGGUCCCAGCCCAUCGCCCAGCAGCCCCUGCAGCAAGGGGCCGACUAUUCCGGUGGAGAAGCAUUGAGAGCGGCACCGCUAGAAUGAGGAACUCACCUGAACGGUACUCAAGGGCUAUCAAGAAGAAACAAAAAUUGAUUGAAGAAUCAUUGAAAAUAAUAAUUCAAACCGGCAGAUUUCUGGGGUUUAGAGAACAUGGGAAUAAUGGCUACUUCAUUCACAAUUAUAAUGCCAAUUUUUCAUCUAAAGGUCAAUGGGAGUCGUGCACAAAUUUAGACUGAUUAAACAGCCAGAAGGGCAGCCAGCCAAGGAAUUUGGUAAGCACUUGUAAACCUAAAACUAUGCAAAACACCUGCUGCCUGUCUCAGCUUACUGCACCAAAAUCGUCUCAGUUGUCUCCACGCGUUCUUUAAUUUGGCCGGUGGGUGCGGAAUGGACAUUUUUCCCCUUCUGCGCCACUAGAGGUAGCAGCUCUGCACCAGCACUACCAGUGGUGCAUUGUUUCCUUAGCCGAUGCUGCACUUAUUGGCUAUUUUCAGAGCUGAAUAGGUGUUAAUUAGGGGGUCCAUAUUUACUAGAGAAGCUACUUUUCAUAUUUAUUCAAUCAGAUUUUGAGCUGCUAACUUAAACAUCUGUGAAACUGGCCUGUGUUUAAACAAAGGCUGCACCUCUAAACUGAUGUCUUUACCCUUUACCGCCAAAAGAUGGCAGUAGAAGGGCUACAUUAUUUAUGUUUCACAGGUAAGCCGGGGAUGUAGAGCUAGUUACUGACACACACACAUUUUGAUUAAAGUGCCUGCAAAUGCUGGAGUUUCCAUAACAGCCUCUCAUGUCAGAACUGUGUCUUUAUAUGUUGCCUCUUGUCACCAGGCAGUAAAGGAGCUGCCCCCAUCCAUGUGAAUGGGUUCACAGAAAUGGAAAGGACUGAUUGGGACUGCUAUCCCUGAUGAUAAACCACAUACCACAAGAUGAGGAAGGUGCAGAGGUCCAGAACCCAGGGGGCACAUCAGCCACGUUAGGCUCAACAGAAGUCAGAGAAAUCGAAGAAAAAGAUGGACACGUGACCCACAGCUCCAUCAGAGGCCUUUGGCUCCACCUAGUAGGCUGCCACUGCUCAUUCAUCCAGCUCAAAGACUUACUGCUGGAAGAGGGAACGAUCUAUGUAUCGGACUGUUUGAUACAUGUUAUUGCACAAAUAAAUUUGCAGCUUUGUGU